UAGUCCCUGCCGUGUUCGUGACUUGGCCAUACAUUCCUUGAACCAAUGCUUAUGGCAUACAGGUUGCUGGAUUGACAAGUGGGUGUGAUUUCCAUUUAUGGAAAACCCGAAGCUUGACUGAAGGCGACCACCUUGAACCCUCGGUUCCAGGAUGCCGGCCUAGACGGCACAGGCGGGGCAAUU
rnacentral:other from 1 species